CCGACCCCCUUACAGUGCCCAGUUCUCUAAGGGAGAGGGGAAUCCCAGCACACCAUGGAAAUGGGUCUGAUCAGAUCUGUGCUCCCCUCUAGAUGAGCAUACUAGGAAGGCUUCUUCAGCAGUUUGGCUUAAUGAAGAUUUCCAGGGUCUUAACCCUCCAGCAGGUGUGUCUGCAGGAAAGACUUUUCAGGCUCCUUUCCUGGUUGCUGCACACAAGCCCCGCUCCCAUGGCAGGGGUCCUCCGAGAGGGAGGAACAAACCUAGAGGAGACAGCAAGUCCCUGGAGGCAUCCAAACAGAUGGACAGGAUCUGGAGUGACCUGGAGAGACAACGUGGUGGGUGCAUUUCCCUCAUGCUUCCCCUGGGACUCAGC